UACGGAUUAUCUUUAUAGCUUGCUAUAGAGAAUAAUUAGUGGCAGACGGGUGAGUGAUGCAUUGGAAUCUACCUAGUAGUAUGGGAUAGCCACUAGAAAUGGUGGGUAAUACUGUAUAAUCCCUGCGGGGGAAAGAUUUAUCGCUAUUAGAUGAGCCUAUGUUAGAUUAGCUAGUUGGUAGGGUAAAGGCCUACCAAGGCGAUGAUCUAUAGCUGGUCUGAGAGGAUGAUCAGCCACACUGGAACUGAGAUACGGUCCAGACUCCUACGGGAGGCAGCAGUGGGGAAUAUUGGACAAUGGGCGCAAGCCUGAUCCAGCUAUGCCGCGUGAGUGAGGAAGGCCUUAGGGUUGUAAAACUCUUUCAGUAGGGAAGAUAAUGACGGUACCUACAGAAGAAGUCCCGGCAAACUCCGUGCCAGCAGCCGCGGUAAUACGGAGGGGGCAAGCGUUGUUCGGAAUUAUUGGGCGUAAAGGGCAUGUAGGC
rnacentral:rRNA from 1 species